rnacentral:rRNA from 1 species
AGAAGCAAAACAAGUGAUGUGGAGGCAAAACUCAAAAAGACGGUCUCAGUUCGGACUGAAGGCUGAAAUUCGCCUUCACGAAGUCGGAAUUGCUAGUAAUGGCAGGUCAGCAUACUGCCGUGAAUACGUUCCCGGGCCUUGUACACACCGCCCGUCACACCAUGAGAGUCGAUAACACCCGAAGCCUGUGAGCUAACCUUUUAGGAGGCAGCAGUCGAAGGUGGGGUUGAUGAUUGGGGUGAAGUCGUAACAAGGUAGC